CUGAAUGACUAUAAAUAUCUCCUGGGAUUUCUUGAGUGUGGUGCAUUCACGUAACUGGUCAUGUUCUUUGCUUACAGACUAUUUUAACAGAUGUUGAUUACUAUUCUGGACAUGCUGCCAAGAAUGUAGAUUUGAUGGCCAGAGUUCUUGCUGCCAGUUUGUACAAUUAGUAUGAAUUGGCUAUGUCAGAGAUGGCCAAGAGAGAUGCCUAAUAGAAACACAGUCCUCGAGGGCUUUGUUAAUGAGAGCUGCCAUAUCAGCCCUGAUCUGCCUCAAGACUUCCAUGACUCUCCUUGGCAGAGAAGGUUCAGCUUUGGAAAAUGGUUUUUGUUGGGUUUCUUCUGCAGCAUCAUAUUUACUGCCAAGUUGUGAGACUGAAUUAAAUUUCCACGAGGAUGUGUUUGGAUGCUGUAGUGGCCCAUCCUAGAGCUCAGAUCUUCUCACCACACUAUAAAUAUGAUGAGUUCCUUUCUGAUGACAAAUUGCAUCCAGUGACAUCACAAGAUUGUUAGGCUAUUUUCAAUCCCCCUUUGUGAUUUGACCAUUGUGAAAAAAGAAACUUCUAAACCCUGUGAAAUCAAAACUAUUUCUGGAUAUUCAGGGAGGUAAGACUGCUGAAUUUAGAACUCAGAUGACCAACAUCUUCAAAUCUUCAAAUUUGAGGGCAAGAGGGUAGAUCACAGUGUAUUUGUGACCCUUUUCUUCACGUCCUUUCGGAUACUACCCUUCCCUAGAAAUGGAGUUUACAUUGUUUUGGUGACUGUCAAGAACUGUGUCUGAAGAAGUUGUGAAAUAUACAUUUUCUUACUGAAGAGUAUCAUCAGCACAGAACUUUGUGAGAGUCUGCUGUUUGAGCUGGCCGUCAGAAAACAUGUUGCUCACUCCCCCAACACUAGGAGGCAUCACAGGUCAACCAUGUCUCUCAAGUACCUGCAAUUUGGACUAAGAUAUGUUGCCCUGAUAACAACGGAAG